AUUUACUGGUGGUACCGUGCAUUAUUAGCUGCAUUUUUACCUACUCCAGUCUGGUACCGGAUAUUCCUUCCUAAACAAAGGAUAUGGGAGUCUUUUUUCAUCUUUGACCACAAGGUUGGAUACUUGUGGAGUGCAUGGAAUGUGUUAUCACCAAAGGACAUCCAUUUUUGGUCAUAUGCCACACAAGAACAUGUAUAAUGACGAUAGAAAUUUACCUAAAAUCCAUAUUAAAAGCAUUAUUAUACAUAAAGGUUAUAAUUAUGUUGCAA